GGUCCCGCUUCACUUUCGCUUUCCCAGAGAGUCUCUCCCGGUGGCCCCGAACCAGCGGUGGCACCGCUGCGGAGAACACCCCGAGCUCCCCGCCCCGCCCCUCCCAUGGAGCUGGUCCCGCUCGCCGGUGCCUAUUUAGCUUCUCCUGAAUGAUUUACAUGACUACAAAUUUUCAUUUGCUGCUGCAGGUGGACAGUGUUUGAUGCUCCUUCUGGUUCUCCCGUGAGUCCAUCUACUCAAACCACAGGCAAAUGCUGUGCUUCUACUGAAGUUUAUUUCAGUUCAUAGUAACGUCAAAAUAAAAUGCUGGCGACUGUCUGAUGAGUCUAAAGGAAGCCUUGGACUUGGUUACAUAAAUUGAAUUGAGCUUGCCAAGGUGACCUUCAAAAACUUCUUGGACGUAUGAGGAGUGACAUGUGAUGACCUCAAACCACAAGUAAUUCUAAUACAACUUUACUCACAGAAAAACCUUUUGGGAAGGUACCAGGACUUUAACUGAGCUUAAUGCAAGACUACAGACAUUGAGGACAUUGGAAAACAUGCAAACUGUUUGGAAUUCAAGGACAGAAGUUUUCCCCACAGUUUGUGAUCAUUCAGCUGUGUGUCCUGAAUUCACACCCAGGGUCCCCCCUGCAGAGCAGCACGAGGCCAGCUGUGCCUUCAGCUGGGAUUUUUGCUUUUGCUUUCUGAAGUACCAAUACCAGAGCCUUCCUGCUCAGCCCUUGGCAGUUCCUCCUUUCAAGGCCAUUUCUGCUCUUCCUCUGAUGUUUCUGCCAGCACCAGGAGUCUGAGUAAGCCCAUCUGGAAGCCAGCUUUGCAGACUACUCCCAGAGCAGCAAGCAACACUGGGAAAUAUGUAAUGGUGAUGGGUGUGGUGCGGUCCUGCAGUCCUGAGCCUGUUCUUCGAGCAAUAAAGAUGACAGAUCUCUCCGAAAACCCCGUGCAUAAGGAUAUGUGGAGCCUUGAAGUGGAGGAGUUGCAGAGCAUCAUCCCCUAGAUACUGUUUUUCUGCCUAAAAUGACUGGAAAUGUA